GUGUGAUGAAGGGUUUCGGCUCGUAAAACACUGUUGUAAGAGAAGAAUGACAUUGAGAGUAACUGUUCAAUGUGUGACGGUAUCUUACCAGAAAGGAACGGCUAAAUACGUGCCAGCAGCCGCGGUAAUACGUAUGUUCCAAGCGUUAUCCGGAUUUAUUGGGCGUAAAGCGAGCGCAGACGGUUAUUUAAGUCUGAAGUGAAAGCCCUCAGCUCAACUGARGAAUUGCUUUGGAAACUGGAURACUUGAGUGCAGWAGAGGAAAGUGGAACUCCAUGUGUAGCGGUG
rnacentral:rRNA from 1 species